CCUACGGGUGGCAGCAGUGAGGAAUAUUGGUCAAUGGACGAGAGUCUGAACCAGCCAAGUAGCGUGAAUGAUGACUGCCCUAUGGGUUGUAAACUUCUUUUAUAUGGGAAUAAAAUGUUCCACGUGUGGGAUUUUGUAUGUCCCAUAUGAAUAAGGAUCGGCUAACUCCGUGCCAGCAGCCGCGGUAAUACGGAGGAUCCGAGCGUUAUCCGGAUUUAUUGGGUUUAAAGGGAGCGUAGAUGGAUUGUUAAGUCAGUUGUGAAAGUUUGCGGCUCAACCGUAAAAUUGCAGUUGAAACUGGCAGGCUUGAGGACAGGAGAGGUGGGCGGAAGUCGUGGUGUAGCGGUGAAAUGCUUAGAUAUCACGAAGAACUCCGAUUGCGAAGGCAGCUCACUGGACUGCAACUGACACUGAGGCUCGAAAGUGUGGGUAUCAAACAGGAUUAGAUACCCGGGUAGUC
rnacentral:rRNA from 1 species